rnacentral:lncRNA from 1 species
AAGACAGUUGUUCCAAGGGAGUGGAGUCCAUAGUGUAUAAUUACAAGUCCCUCAGCCAAGGGCAGAUGCUUGAACUAUUUCAGUGCUUUUAUUACUCUCUAGAAUACAGCCAGUGAAAUACUGCUAGUAUACAAGGCUGCAAUUGCCUCUCUUGUUUUCCCUUCUCUUUUUUUUUUUUUUUUCCUUUUGUUCGUCUCCUGGACAGGCAGGGAGAAGGCAAUGCUUUUUCCCUGGAAAUAGCUCAGCAACAGUAUCCUUCAGUGAAAGGAAUUUUCACCUCUGGAAAGUUAACACCAUUUUAAUCCCAGGGCCACGGUUUCAAAAGGUCUUAAAAAACAUAGCAACAAUGCAUUCCAACACUUCCCUCUGAUUAUGAGAAAGCACCCUGCCCUCCAAGCCUAGGAUUCCCAGCAAUUAUUUGAGGAAUGGCUACAUUCUCAGUAAUCCUUCUACAGUGACAGAAGAUGAUCAAAUAAGAGGUUAGCUGGGAGCUGGAAACUGCAUUCAGUUUCCAGCACUGACAAAGUCUUCCUGUAUGACCCUGGGUAAGUCACGCAAUCUGUUUAACACUCAGUUCCUCAUCUGUGCUUUGAGUAUGUCAAAAAAUGAAGUAUUUUUAUUUGUGUGUUUCUCUCCCUGAAAAAGUAUCUCUAAUGCCACAUCUGCUGAGUGCAUCCUGAUCCACAGCACAUUCAUUAAUAUUUUCUCUGUGAAUCACACAAUAAAAGUCAGUCUGAGUAACCA